UACAAUCUUGAAGGUGGUGUAUAUUAUCCUCAUCUAGAUUUAUACUUCAAUAUAUUAUAGAUAGUGUUUUAUGUGCUGUGAAAGUAUAGAGUGGUAUCAAAAGAGAUUGCAUGUUUCAUUCAGAAUUUGUUUUAUUUUGGGACUGGGGAUUGAACCCAAGGGUGCUUAACCACUGAGCCACAUCACCAGCCCUUUUUAUUUUGAGACAGGAUCUCAUUAAAUUGCUUAGGGCCUCGCUGAGGCUGGCUUUGAACUUGUUAUCCUCCUGUAAGCCCAAAACGCUGGGUUUGCAGCUAGCCAGUACUGGUUUUUAGAUGUAUUCACAUUGGUGCAAGUAGCUCUAAUUCAUUUGAACACUGUACAAAUAUACUAAUUUAAUCAUUCAUUCUUUUUUUUAAAAUUUUUUUUAGUUAUGGAUGGACACAAUAUCUUUAUUUUUAUUUAUUUAUUUGUAUGUGGUGCCGAGGAUCAAACCCAGGGCCUCAUGCAUGCAAGCUGAUACUUGAUGAAUGAGAAGUCAUCCAUGUGAAGAGCCAGGAAACAAGCUGUUUAAGCAUCUGGAUCAGAAGACAGGCCCUAAGAUUUCAUCAAAGAUCUAAAGCACGUAGAUCGAUUCGGGAGCUGAGAAAAUAUACUGCUAGUCCUGAAACUGAGAUGUGACAGAAUCACAGGACGCCCAAACAAAGGAACUGAAAAAUGUGAAUGAAAAAAGUAAGUAACUCUCUUACAGUGCCAAACAGUAGUAUAGACUUUCAAGUGACAAAUUAGAAAUUAUUUCCAAAUGCGGGUCAUGCCUUUAGUAACUUAGCUCAACAUGCUAACAUUUCCUCUCCUUCCCCAUUCAUUUCGUUUACUAGCCCUCUGUAUAUCUGCCAAGUGGUUACGUUGGAGUAUCUAGGAGACAGAGGUAUCAUUCCCCUUGGGAGCUUUCAUUUACUUUAACUACCUGAUCUUCAAUAUUAAAGCAGAGUAAGGUUCACAAGUCCUAUUACUGUAUUUUCAACCUAUUUUCCUUUAAGCCAUCCUUUUUUUUUUUUUUUUUGGUACCAGGGCUUGAACUUAGGGGCACUUAACCACUGAGCCCCAUCCCCAGCCCUAUUUUGUAUUUUAUUUAGAGACAGGGUCUCACUGAGUUGCUUAGCACUUCACCCUUGCUGAGGCUGGCUUUGAACUCAUGCUCCUCCUGCCUCAGCCUCUGGAGCCACUGGGAUUACAGGCGUGUGCCACUGCCCUUGGCUUAGGUCAUCUUUUUUGACAAUGAGUACUUACUAAUUUUUAAAGAUACCUAUUCAAAAACAGAAAUCUCAAUAAUCUAUAAUUGAUGUGGAUGAAAUUUUCUUUUUUCUAAAACAACUUCCCCAUCCACUGAUUUUUUUCCCCCUUUACUUACAAGUUGGUCAUACUCUUUCUAGGUAGAAACACACUGCUAAAUAGAAUGACUACCAAAAUGCAAGAUGUAGAUUUGUGUUUAUACAAUAAGGCAGAGUUAAAACCCUAUCACACAGAAUCAGAGUUUCAGUGUUAGGAAAGACUUUUAGGAUCACCUUGCACAAUUACCUAUUUUUGGUGUAUAUGUGACAACCCCCCACCUGAUUCCCAUAUUGGGGAUUGAACCUAGGGGUGCUCUGCCAUUGAGCUAUACCCCUAACACUUUUUAUUUUUUGAAACAGGGUCUCAUUAAGUUGCUGAGGCUGGCUUGAACUUACUGAUCUUCCUGCCUCCGCCUCCCAAAUUGCUGGGAUUAUAGGUAUGUGCUACCCUGCUUGGGAGACAACCAGAUUUCUUAAGUGAAGUCAAAAUCCUUUUUCAGAAGGGAGGGAGAGAGAAGGACGGAGAGGGAGUGAGACAGACACAGACAGAGAUACUGAUACAAUGAAACAAGUCAAAACUGCACAAGAGAUGGUCCAGUUCUACUUAACAUAAAAUUUUUGUUUAUUCCCCAUGCAAAUUAAAACCACAAUGAGGGCUGGAGUGGUGGCUCAGUGAUAGAGUGUACGCCUAACAUGCACGAGACACUGGGUUCGAACCUUGGCACCACAUAAAAACAAACUAAUGUAUCCACCUAAAAUUAAAGAUACAUAAAUAAAUAAAUGUUUAAAAAAAAACCACAAUGAGAUACCUUAAUCUGUUAGAAGGGCUAGUAAACAAAAACAAAAACAAACAAACAAACAAAAAAAACAAAGAAAAAUGCUGAUGAGGAUAUAGAGAAUAGGGAGCUCUUCUAAACCCUUGGUGGUAAUGCAAAUUAGUAUGGCUAUUUUGGAAAACAAUAGGGAGAUUCCUCAAAAAACUAAGAAAAUUGCCAUAUGAUCUCGAAACCCCACUUCUGAAUAUAUAUCCAAAGGAACUGAAAUCCCUAUGCGAAAGAGAUGUGUGUUUGUUGCAGUGUUACAGUAGCUAAGAUUUAGAAACAACCUAAGUGCCUGUUACUAAAUUAAUGGGACUUUUAAAAGGUUGUAUACUGUAACAAUACAAUCAUCUUUAAAAAGAAUGAAAUGCUGUCACUUGCAACAUAGAUGAUUCUAGAGGAUACCACCUUAAGUGAAAUAAGCCAGGCACAGAAAGACAAAUGUCUCAUGAUUUUACUUGUAUGUGGUAUCUAAAAAAGUCCAAGUCAAGUAGAAAGAAGAAUAGUGGUUACCAGAGACUGAGGGCAGGGGAAAGUGGGCAGGGAAAGGAGUAUUGUUGUACAAAGGGUACAAGUUUCAG